rnacentral:rRNA from 1 species
GACGAACGCUGGCGGCGUGCUUAACACAUGCAAGUCGAACGGAAAGGCCCUUCGGGGUACUCGAGUGGCGAACGGGUGAGUAACACGUGGGUGAUCUGCCCUGCACUUUGGGAUAAGCCUGGGAAACUGGGUCUAAUACCGAAUAGGAUCAUGGCCUUCAUGGGUUGUGGUGGAAAGGUUUUGCGGUGUGGGAUGGGGCCGAGGCCUAUCAGCUUGUUGGUGGGGUAAUGGCCUACCAAGGCGACGACGGGUAGCCGGCCUGAGAGGGUGACCGGCCACACUGGGACUGAGAUACGGCCCAGACUCCUACGGGAGGCAGCAGUGGGGAAUAUUGCACAAUGGGCGCAAGCCUGAUGCAGCGACGCCGCGUGAGGGAUGACGGCCUUCGGGUUGUAAACCUCUUUCAGCACAGACGAAGCGCAAGUGACGGUAUGUGCAGAAGAAGGACCGGCCAACUACGUGCCAGCCGCCGCCGUAAAAC